rnacentral:rRNA from 1 species
GACCGGAUGAGGGGAGCUGGAUCCUUGAGUGAGCGCCGGACGGGUGAGUAAUGCGUAAGAAUCUGCCUGGUAGUGGGGGACAACGUUUCGAAACGAACGCUAAUACAGCAUACGUCCUACGGGAGAAAGCAGGGGACCUUCGGGCCUUGCGCUAUCAGAUGAGCAUAGGUCGGAUUAGCUAGUUGGUGGGGUAAUGGCUCACCAAGGCGACGAUCCGUAACUGGUCUGAGAGGAUGAUCAGUCACACUGGAACUGAGACACGGUCCAGACUCCUACGGGAGGCAGCAGUGGGGAAUAUUGGACAAUGGGCGAAAGCCUGAUCCAGCCAUGCCGCGUGUGUGAAGAAGGUCUUCGGAUUGUAAAGCACUUUAAGUUGGGAGGAAGGGCAGUAAGUUAAUACUUUGCUGUUUUGACGUUACCGACAGAAUAAGCACCGGCUAACUCUGUG